UGUGUGUGUGGACCAUAUUUGGUGUUGUGUGUGUGUAACACAGGAUGGACCAUAGAUUGUAGGCGAUUUAAGCAACAUUUGGUUGAUGUGUGGCGUCUGGUUGAUGUGUGGCGUCUGAGCAGAUCUCGAACUUUGGACUUCACCAACACAACGUGAACCACUCACCACUUUAUUACAUCGACAUAUUUGCAGAGGUCGAGGUAGAACGUGUUCACCAUGCAACUUUGGAAGAUCUGCAUACAGCUAGGGCGACAGUUUGAGCACCACUGACCUAGAAAAACUAUUCGGGGAGAAAAACAAAACAAUCACCGGUUCAAGACAGGGGAAGAUAACUCUCCAUUCCAUCAACACUCAGUGGUCACCAUUAGAUGAUUAGAUCUAGAGACUAGAACAAGCAUCCUCCAUUCUGUACAAGCCUUUGCUCAAGUUUUCAAACUGAUCAAAAACUGAUGUCUUUGCUCAAGUUUUCAAACUGAUCAAAAACUGAUGUCUUUGCUCAAGUUUUCAAACUGAUCAAAAACCAGACUGCUAUGUUUUUGCCCCAGGCAGGAAUGCAUUAAACCAUCCAAUAUGGGAGAUAGCCAUCUAACAGAAACCAAAGACAAAAAUUGUGUUGAUGAAGGCUAUGACAAUACUAGAGCUACAUCUCAACUAAAUGAAUUUACUGCCAAAAAAUUAAAUUUGGCCACGUACCUCAAAAUACUGGCCAAUGUGGAUAGAUGCCA